GGCUGAGGAGAUAGCUCAGUUGGCAGAGUGCUUGCCUGGCAAGCAGGAGGUCCUGGGUUCAAUCCCCAGCACUGCCA